UACAGAGGUCUCAAGCGUUGUUCGGAUUCAUUGGGCGUAAAGGGCGCGUAGGCUGCGGGGCAAGUCGGGUGUGAAAUCUCAGAGCUCAACUCUGAAACUGCACUCGAUACUGCUUUGCUUGAGGACUGGAGAGGAGAUUGGAAUUCACGGUGUAGCAGUGAAAUGCGUAGAUAUCGGGAGGAACACCAGUGGCGAAGGCGGCGAUCUGGACAGAUAUUGACGCUGAGGUGCGAAAGCGUGGGGAGCAAACAGG
rnacentral:rRNA from 1 species